CCUACGGGUGGCAGCAGUGGGGAAUAUUGGACAAUGGACGAAAGUCUGAUCCAGCAACGCCGCGUGAAGGAAGAAGGCUUUCGGGUUGUAAACUUCUUUUAAGAGGGAAGAAAAGAAGAAGGUAACCCUUGAAAAAACCACGGCUAACCAAGUGGCAGCAGCCGGGGUAAUACGGAGGGGGGAAGCGUUAACCGGGUUGAAUGGGUGUAAAGGGCGUGUAGGGGGGAAGGGAAGUCAGAUGUGAAAACCCUGGGCUCAACCCGGGAACUGCAUUUGAAACUGUUAAUCUUGAGUAUCGGAGAGGUAAGCGGAAUUCCUGGUGUAGCGGUGAAAUGCGUAGAUAUUAGGAAGAACACCAGUGGCGAAGGCGGAUUACUGGACUACAACUGACGGUGAGGCACGAAAGCGUGGGGAGCAAACAGGAUUAGAUACCCCUGUAGUC
rnacentral:rRNA from 1 species